CAAAAAUGUACAAAUCGAAACGUACACAUUUUUUUGUAUUACAAAUAUAUUAACGCACAAAAUCUUUACCAUCUAAACUAAACCUAAGCUGUUUAGACAUUACUAGAACCUGUAUGUUUAAUCAUAACAAUAAUCUAAUAGUACUUAAGAUAUUGACGGACAUGAGUAGAAGGCCUCGGCUAGUGGUCCUGGUUAAGCAUAUAUGUUUUAUCUGUCACAUGCAUCUCAGCGAACGUACCCGAAUCUUUUAGUCAUAAAGAUAAAUAAUUGGUUAAUUUCCAAAAAAAGACACCAGGUAAAUUGUAAACGGAAGUUUUUCCAGCUUUAAUUCAGAACUCGCAUGUUUGUCGGCCAAUAAUGUAACUGAGAAAGUUUGAAAACUUCCGCACGUGACUUCCGCGACUAUUGUCGAUCGGCCUGAUGAUCCCAGUGGCAAUUGAAGGGGCUCUUGUCCAACUCGGCUGUCAGCCUGAGGAGUUAACGAUUGCAGCGGUAAUUGGAGCCAAGUCAGCCAGCCCGUCGAGGCGUAGGUGAUUAAAAGGCGAUUAUUUCAAUUUUAGCCCGAGAAAUAAUGAUGCCAGUAGACGGUUGGACGGAAGAUGCUGCCCAGGUAGGAUUUGUGCUCGAAGAAAAAGCAGCCACCUGUCAACGAAUUCGACGUAGCUGUUAUGUUAAUGCGCCAAAACCGUUGACAUUUAUUGGCAGUUAUUUAUGGCGGACACUUCGCGCGGACUCUUGGCGGACACCAUUUUGGGACCUGGCCAUUUUGGUGGCCAGCACUGCCCGACUAUGGAAAAUUCUAUAAUUGUGCAGGUGACAACGCGAGUGGCACGCGCUGCUGACGCUGAUUAGAGGCAGUUUCACCUGCAGCUGCACUCGCAGCUGUGGCAGAUACUUCAUCUCGAGUCACGCUCGAUUGUGCGCUGGCAUAUGGCCAUAAAGAUAUUAUUAAUUAUGACAAUAUUGGAGUAUAGGUGUAAGCAUCGAGGCUCAGUCCUGAAAAGGAGAGGCGCGAAACUCCCUCGAGGAUAUUACAUUGUGAUGCGACAGAUCUUAAAAUACAUAUCGCGAUUGCAGCGAGAUCUACGAUGUUGAGUUGCUUGACUAAUGAGUUUAUUAGUGGUUAUAUGGUCUGAUGUAGAGCAGUCGGCCAGGCUUAUUCAAAUGAAAUCGACUUUCCUGUUCUGGAUCGAGGCGAUCUUCCUAGAAAUAUCGAUAUCAAGGCACGUGUCAUCUCCUGACUAUCUGAUGAGAUGCCCAUGUAUGUUGGGUGUUCGAUUUGUCACAGCGACCAAAAUGGGGCAUUCAAUGCUGGUCUAGUCGGCAAUGGGCUUGUGAAAAUAUUUCACGGCAUAGUCGGGGAUCGGUGUGUAUUCGAUGGGGGAUACCCAUUGUAUUUUCUCAAGCUCCGAAUAUAAUGAUAUUAUUCAAUGGGUUCCUAAAAUCAAGAAUCAGAAUACAUAAGUUUUUGUUAUUGCUUUUUAUCUUACAUUUACAUUUAAAAAUCUGAUUGAAACUGUUAUAAAGUGAUUACAUC